rnacentral:lncRNA from 1 species
CUCUGCUUUCUAAUUGCUUGGUAGUCCAGUCUUCAUCUCUAUGAAGACUUCUACGAAUGCUCCAUCUUUCGAAAAUAGAAAGAAAUAAUUUCUAUCUAUUUUUAAAUAAAAUUUUUUAUCAUUAAUUUUACAUCAACAUGUAAAAGUCUCAAUCAAUAGUUGGAAACAUUACAAAGGAAGGAUGAGUAAGGUCUAGCUGAAAAUAUAAUGCAUCAAAGGCACCC